AGAGUUUGAUCCUGGCUCAGGAUGAACGCUGGCGGCGUGGAUAAGGCAUGCAAGUCGAACGAACUUUUUAUUUCUAGAGAUGAGAUUAUAUCAACUCAAAGGUCGUUUAAAGUUAGUGGCGAACGAGGUAGUAAUACAUAGGAACUUCCCCCUAAGUCGUGAACAACUCAUCGAAAGGUGAGCUAAUACACGAUAGUCUCUCCGGAGUAAAGUUUUUCGCUUAGGGAAAGGCCUGUGAAGUAUCAGCUAGUUGGUAGUGUAAAGGACUACCAAGGCUAUGACGCUUAGGGGAGCUGAGAGGCUGACCCCCACCGAUGGGACUGAGACACGGCCCAUACACCUACGGGUGGCUGCAGUCGAGAAUCUUCCGCAAUGGACGAAAGUCUGACGGAGCGACGCCGCGUGAUUGAUGAAGCUCUUUGGAGCGUAAAGAUCUUUUAUGAGGGAAGAAGUUUAUUGACGGUACCUCAUGAAUAAGGGGCUCCUAAUCUCGUGCCAGCAGGAGCGGUAAUACGAGAGCCCCGAGCGUUAUCCGGAAUUAUUGGGCGUAAAGGGUGCGUAGGUGGUAAUAUUAGUCGUUUGUCAAAUCCUCGAGCUUAACUUGAGAACUGCAAACGAAACGAUAUAACUUGAGAGUGUGAAGGGUAUAGGGAACUCAUGGUGUAGGGGUGAAAUCCGUUGAUAUCAUGGGGAACACCAAAAGCGAAGGCACUAUACUGGCACAUAUCUGACACUCAAGCACGAAAGCGUGGGUAGCGAAUGGGAUUAGAUACCCCAGUAGUCCACGCCCUAAACGAUGAUCUCUAGUCUUUCGGAGUAUCGACCCUCUGAGAGACGUAGCUAACGCGUUAAGAGAUCCGCCUGGGAAUUACGGCCGCAAGGCUAAAACUCAAAGGAAUUGACGG
rnacentral:rRNA from 1 species